rnacentral:rRNA from 1 species
AACCCUUGUCCUUAGUUACCAGCACGUUAUGGUGGGCACUCUAAGGAGACUGCCGGUGACAAACCGGAGGAAGGUGGGGAUGACGUCAAGUCAUCAUGGCCCUUACGGCCUGGGCUACACACGUGCUACAAUGGUCGGUACAAAGGGUUGCCAAGCCGCGAGGUGGAGCUAAUCCCAUAAAACCGAUCGUAGUCCGGAUCGCAGUCUGCAACUCGACUGCGUGAAGUCGGAAUCGCUAGUAAUCGUGAAUCAGAAUGUCACGGUGAAUACGUUCCGGGCCUU